CUCUCUCUCUCUCUCUCUCUCUCUCUGGUCGCUUACUUCUGAUUCGUUUGUUUUAUACCUUAGUAGGUGCCAGUCCAAGAUUCGUUCGCGUAUCGCGAGCGAACAGAUUUCUUGAUAAACGUGAAACGUUGAAAUCGGGACGAAAUCUAUAUAGGUCGCGGACUGAAAGGAUAUCGUUACGGAGAAGAUGCGUUAUCUUUCAAUUUAUUUACAUACACUGUACAUACUUGACGAUCAGUUCAUCGAGAUACACGCAUCGAGUACGUUCUGUGCAUGCACGCACGUAGCUAUAUAGUCUCUUAAAAAUAUCGCGAUUAUUGGAAACUAUAGAAUUUCUACACGUUUCUAUGUAUUUUUCCAACGACUAAUUAAUCGUAUAAUUUCACGUUUCAAAAACUAAUCGAUCCUAGACUUGAAAACUAUUUAACUCGAGCGCUACGUUUACUUCGACACGAGAGAUUAUUUGUUUGCCAUUGAAUUUACGAGUCAACCCUGCAAACAGUUAUUAAGUCAAGUAAAAAAAAAAUGAUCUUUCAAAAUAAUUGAGACAGAGAUCAACUAUCGUUCCCAAGCGAAAGUAGAUUUAGUAUAUGUUUCAUACGUUCAUCUUUUCUGAACCAUUGUUCUAGAAAAUUUCGACUACACAAGAUCCACUUUCCAUCGUAAGUAAAACAUUCGAAGGCAGAACAAAGAUAUAUAGUAAAUAUAUCGAACAAGAGAUAGGGAAAGAAAAUACUGCUUAGAAAAGCACUUGAUGAAAAUCACGCGACUGUUACAUUGUUUGAAAAAUAUGCAGUAGCGUUUAAAGCAGAAUUUGUGCAUAAGGUGUUGUUAUUGAUCGUGUCAUCGGAAUGUGUAAUCGUAGAACCAGAAAAAUUCGUUAUUAAAGUCCAGGCUGUCUAGAUAAAAAUAUAAUAUUGAAAACUAAGAUGCAAACGUACACUUAAAAUAUCAGUUUAUAAUAAUUAAUCGGCUUAUGUGCCUUCGUUGAUAUCGUAUAAUUGAGAGAUUAUAUCGUAUAAAAGAUGAAAGAGUAAAUAAGUUAAACAUUUAAGAAGAAAGCAAAUUUAGGCCCUAUAUACAUAGCUCCGAAUAAAUAUGACUUUGCUCAUCGAUGCUUUUUACGGAAAUGUAAUUAACGUACAUGAAAAAACAGAAACAAAAGUUUUACGCGAUAUCGUGCUUACGAUCGAAUUAAAAUAAAAAUACCCAUGCUAUCACAAGUGUUAUUUAAAACAAAUACGAAUACUUCAACUUUGGUAAAAUAUUAAAUACAAGUAUCUCGAUUCUUUUAAUCGAAUGUGUGUGUGUGUGUGUGUGCGCGCGCGUAUAUCGCUUAACGUAAAAUAAACCCAUGCAAAAUCCAUUUCACUUUCUCUACCUUUUUCUCUUUCAGACAAGCGACGAAUAAUAUUAGAACGAAAGCCUUUCAUCCGAGAGGCUAUUUCUCUCGCUGUUUGUUAUGAAUUAUCUUUGAUAAUAUCAACGAAGGCAUUGUCGCUUUCCGACCGCCCCCUUGAUUCAUUUUCCAAUGAAAAAUCACCGUCCUUGAAUUUCAAGACUUGGAACAUAAUUUCUUUAAAAUGCCAAAUUUAUAUGCUCUCAGCGAAUUUCAUGAUCACGGACAAAGAAAAAUGACUAACGAAAUUCCAAUAGUUCUGUCGCAAACUAAGUAUUCAACGUUCAUCGUAUGUACAACGAUGACAAAAACUAUUCGCAUAUACAUCCUUAUCUUCCAAUGAAGCGCUUUUACCGUGAUACUUGGUCGAAAGUGUUUUCAGUGUCUAGGAAAACAGGAUUGCAAAAGGUUGCAAUUACUAUCAAAUUGAGCUUUAAUACCCAAGUUAUACUACGAAGUGCGCUUUUAUCAGUACAAAAUAAGCAUAACUUACGAUAUAUUGCUAUUUCACACCGCAUCUGUUUCAUCUGUCAUACUAACAUAACCUCUCUAGAUAGAAUGGAAGACACUAUUCGUCGCGUCUUUGCUCUCGCUUACGUUUCUACGUUUUUCUUUAAACUUCUCACACGGACUUGCGCCAACUUGUUCAAUUUCGUACGAAUUUGGCGACCGGAUAUGCGCGAGCUUCAGUCGGUUACUUUUUCUACAUUUUUGCGCGUUUUUCACGCCCGUGAUUUCCCUCAACCUCCUCUGUCUUGUUACUUUCAAAGUUCCUUUCUUCACCGUCGCUCACCCUGUAAAAUGCGUAUGCAAUGUGUAGGUUCGCGCGAGCCUCUUUCCCCCCUGCUACGUUCUUUGCUUAUUUAUCCAUCUCGAGCGUUUCUAUUUCCUUAACCCUAUGUAACUUUGAUAUUUAUGAUAGAUCUAACGGUAAAUUUAAUACUAGUAAAUAUUUUAUAUGAAAUUUGAGUAGCAUCGAGAGAUCGAUAGACUGUAAAAAAUAGUUUCGAGUUUACGAAGUUUACCAUUAUUCCGUAAAAUUAGGAUUUGAAAGAAUCGAAUAUUCGUUGCUUUCUAAAUAGAAUUUUCGUCAUAUUAUCAUGACAUGAUAUUAACGAGGACAUAUAUGUGCACUGGUUUCUAAUUACAUUUUUUUGAAGGAUGGAAUUAUAACAGUUACGAACCAGGGCGACGAUAUUCGAAUCGUUGAGAAAUCAUUUAAAUGGAAAAUAGUUCAAAGCAUAUAAGAAAUCGAUAAUGUUAUUUAGGAUCGUUUGACGUUCGAGCAACAAGUUCCUUAACCUACAAACCGGUUGGCAGCGCCGCUGAAUACAUCCACGCGGACGAGCGUCAACUAAAGUCGACGAUACGUUAUCGCCACACAAUUACAACGUACUGUUGCUCGUGACCGUCGUGCGACACUACGCGACGACCGAAAAGGUUUUAAAGAAGGAAUCGAUAAACGCCCUUGUUGCAUCUUCCUUAAAGAACAAGAAGAAGUCCAGGCUGUGAGAUAUCUGUAACAAAACAUAAAAUAUUACAAUUUGCUCUUGAAAGCACAUUUUGCUGAUUAAAAUAUUUCAGACAGCAAAAGGUGACAUGCUAUUAAAUUUGAAACUUUAGCAAUGAUAGAGUCUAGUGAUCUAAUAAACUCCACUCCUGGAAAGGCUUUAUCCUCUUGACAGAUGCACUGACUUUAAUACCGAAAAUGAACAUUUAAGAAAAGAAACAUAAGAAAGAAAAGAAUAAAACGCUACGUUAACGCGACCGGUUAUAAAAUAUAAUCGACAAACAAGAACUCUAACAUUGCGUGCAAAUUCACUUGAUAAGAUUCUACGACUUUCGCGUAUUAUUAUUUACACAGUUCGAUUUAAUCAAAGCGAUCGUGACUUGGAAACAUUGAAAUAAACUAUAAUGUAAACACUGACUCUACCAACAGCAUCGCUCGCGAUCACAAGUAUUCUUUGAAAAUAAAACUGUUUGAGGGGGAGGGGGAGGGGGGAGGGGGGAGGUUGAAAGAAGAAAAAUAUUUUCAUAUUUUGCAUCUCCUCCCUAUCGAACUUAUUCAAGAAAAUACUGCUAUUGUCCUACACUUAAGAAAUGAUUAUUAAGAAACUGCAAUAUAUAUUAAAGAUAUUAAAUGUAAAUUAUAACACGUCUUUCGAUAUUGAAUAAAUGCUUGUGUAUACCCUGAAUGUACACAAUACGAUUAUUUGCAAGAAUCAUACUCUGAACGUUCGUUAUUAUAAUAUAGAACAUACACUCCGUUAACAUACUAUAUCACGCUUUAUAAAUAUUCGAAAAUGUUUGCAAGAAAUCUAAAUUUUACAACUAAAUAUGCUUGAAGAACGACACUACGUGAAAGCGCGCGUGAAAUCUUGUUUUGAAGCAUCUGAGCGUCAUUGCGCGCCACCUUUGUGGAAAAAAUAUAAGUUGUGAAGUUGCAAACAUGUGACAUUAACUGUAGCAAAUUCACGUAAUAUAGCAAGAUAAAGGCGGACAUUCAGUGUGGAGAGAAAUUCUGACAAAUCAAUCGUAUAUUUAUUAUGUUUUUCAUCUUCCCUCCCUGCCUAUUCCCUGGAAAAGAACUGCAAAGGCCAAUAACAGGGAUAGCAGUGUCACGUAAAUCAGCCAGAGUCCUCUUAUCCUAGCUUGACGUGUGAGAACCAACGCAACGCGAGGCUGAAGGUUAUCGGAUCAGUAUCUAUAGCACUCACGGAGAGUACAGCUAAAUGUUAGAAAAAGGAAACUAGAUGCUAUCGCGUUUACAAUUAGGAAAUUUCCUGCAUCUAGAAUUCUAUACUAUUAUCAUGAACCAAAACCAAUCUGAUAAUCCAAACAGAAACUACAAAAUAUCUAGCGCGAGUAUACAUAUAUGUAUUUCAUGGAGAUCGCAAAAAUAUUUAAACAGUCAAUUAUCCACUGUAUUAAAAGGCCUCGAUAUGCCUACACGUGGAACCAUCCUUAACACUUGCAUAUUAUGAUCUUCAAUUAUAAUUGCUAUCCAUGCUGCAUAGUAAUUUUGUACUAGAUAUGUGUUUGCGAUAAACAUUUUACAGCUUCUAUGUACGUUGUUGUUUUUAAAUUUUGUCGAUAUAGUGAUUUAAUAUUACCAUAAAUGAACAUAUUAUACAUACACGUGCACAGAUUUCCAUGGUAAGCAUGUAUUCAAAUAUCCACCGUAUAUUCCUAUCGUGCAAAUCUAUGUUCGUGAUCCGCGAUAUAUAUUUUAUUUUACGUAUUUGAAAGGGAAUAACUAUUUCUAAAUACGUAUGUAUUAUAUCAAGAUUUCCUUUACGAGAAAUUGAAAUUACCGUUUUUAACGCAUAUUUCAGCGAAGCGUAAAUUUUGUAUUUCAUCCUUAGUGAAAAGAUACCAAGCAAAGAAUGACAUUUUCGGUAUAGGAUGACCUGACAAGCAUGCUGGAAAAGUUCAUUGAUAUACUUCAGGAACAGCCAAUGUUGCCUUAAAAUAGUUUAUUGAUUAUAAGUAUGAAACAACCUUUUCUGAAUGUAUAAGAAUCCUUAUCGAAACUUUGAAGUCAUUUUGCUUUCGAAACUACAGUUUUUAAGUUUGUGGAAACGAUAUUCUAGAAACUGAUAAGGCCUUUGCCUGUAAGCUUUAAGAGCUUAUAAAAACGCGAGUUUAUUCGCUGCUUCACCUAAGAUCACAAUAAUAUGUGCAAUAAUGUUUAGUCGUAUUAAUAUAAACGAGCGAUAAUUUUCCUCGCUUUGAUCUGAUUUAAGUUUAAAAUCAUAUCGCUUUAUUAAUUUGUCGUACAGUACGUUUACUUUCUUUUAAAAUAUAAUUUUAAUUAGGUACUUUCGUUACCGUUUUAUUCCGGAGAUGCUGCUUGCAGGUAAUUUAAUCGUCGAUAUCAAUGUGCGGCCAGGAAAGAAAUUUCUUUAAUUCGUUGAAUAAUUUCUUUAAAUAUAUCAAAAAUUAUUAAUUUGCUAUACUUAUUUCGAAAUGUCGUAGAGCGUAAAACAAUUCGUUAAAUGGUGUUUCUCUUCCAUUUUACAAUGUGCUUCUUCAUUACGUGCUCAGAAAGUAAGGUUUUCCUCGUAUCAGCAAACCAAUACAUAUUUUCAUAGCCAACAUCAGUAAAAAUUAUUUUAGGUAUCGUUUCCAGAAUAUAAAUCUAUUAAAAGAUCUAUUUAGCCGAAGCACUACUCCUCACUAUCUUUUAAUAACUUUCUGCGUGCUAUGACUAUUAUGCUAUGGCCAUUGUACUGCACUGUACGAUAUACGUAUAAUAGCAUUUAAUAUGUAGGAUACGUAGAUAGAUAGAUGUGAUACGUAAAGAUGAAAUAUGCGUAUGAGCUAAAUCCUUCCAACUCUCAACAUAUUUACUUUCAAGGUUUAAUACCUUUCCACUAAAAGCAUUUCCUAGAUCCCUUGUAAUCCUGCUUCUUGGAAACCGGAAUGAGAGCGGACAUGAAACGUUAUUACGAACAACGUGUAACGUACUUGAUAGAAAAUUAAUGAUCAAACUAAAUUAAGGCAAGAAAACACCUAAACACUGAUCGACGCGCAUAAGUCAAAGUAUUACGUUACGUUUAACGAAUACUUUAAUCGAUAAUUGAAAAUAUGUCGAUGAAAAGGAUAGAAUACAUGUGGCACUCUUGUCGCACGAUUCACUUUUACACAGUUCAUUUUUUUCCACGGUUUCUUUUAACACGAUUUAUUUACUUUUGUCAUUGUUUGGUCGCUGUUACGCGACUCUCGACCAAUUGAAAAUCGUCACAACGAUUUUUGAAUAUUCGAACUAAAUAAAUAUCUCUGGGAAAAAGAUAACAUUUCAGUUUCAUUUAAAAUACAAAAGCUUGCGACAGACAUUCAGGAUUAUAACGAUAGGUUACAGAAGGACGUAAGAUAUUUUUGACUGCCAAUUAACCAACUGUGAUGUGGGAUUUCCGCAACCACAGCCAAUUAGGUCAAUGAGGGGAAUCAAAGGAAAAUGCCCUAACCGAUGAUAGAUACUGGCAUUACGUGCAGCCAUACUGUGACGCAACGCUGGUGAUUGAAGUAUCCAUUUUUUCUUUUAUCCGUUUCGACGCAUAAUCAGAAAUUUUACACUUGUUCCAUAGAAUCGUGCGUACAUGAGUAAACGAUUCAAAUAAAAAAUUAUCUUCGUACUUUAUUAUAAUUAUAGUGCGACGUAAAAGCAUAAUAUACUGAAAAAGAACACAGUUCGUACAGGAUUAUCGUCCAACGUACGUUCGAUAGCGAUCAGUCAUAUUCGCGAGCAUUUCUUCGUCGUAUUUACAACGUAAUCGUAUAUACGUAGUCUUACAUUGAAACUUUGCCUUCAAAGUUUAGUUAUUAGAAGCUGUAGGUGCCUAAAUGGGAUGAAACAGGGUUAAAAGCAACAAGCUAAAUAUUCCAAAAUGCAUCAUAGCAGCUGAUGCAAACUUACACGUAUAAUGAAUAAUUACGAUCGAACAAUUACACAUUCGUAUUUCAAUGACCUAAAUACGCGAUAAACGUGUAACGAACUAAUUGACCGAAAGGCGUAACUUUUACAAAAUUUGACGACGUUCGACUUUUACGAAUUAUCGUGAACUUUGAAACUGAGCAAAGAAUAUCCGCGAUACUUUAUUUUAUUAAUUUUAUUUGAGAAAGCUCGUUCUACGCUUUUGUUUAAUUCUUGCAUAAGAAAUCACCUCUUGCCUAUUUGCGUUAUAUAAUAUUUGCGGUCAUAUUCUAUAUAAAUAGAGCUCCGUCAAAUCGAAAUGUCAACUUCGUUCCCGCCGAUAGAGUAGUCAAGUUGCCUGACACGAGUGCGAGCAAUUUAAAUCGGAGUAACUUGAAAUCUCUUUACCAACGUGAAAUUGUUAUUUAUUUGAAAUAUUCUCUCGUGUCUCGAUGCUUAUCCGUAAUAGUCAAGACGUUUGAUUCCAAAUAUAUAAUUCGAAAUAUUUUACCGCUAUGGAUCUGUUAUUUUACUUGACUGGAAAUAUAUUCUCAACUUACAAACGAAGUUGAGAUUCGUUAGGUUUUUAUACAAGCAACGCGGCAGAAUGUGAGUUAGAUUUACAGAAAGACGAAUAAGGUGCGAUUAAUUCCGGUUAUUCUAAGAUAUUCUCCCUUCUGCACUUGCCUCGAUCGCACUCCAUAAACCAUAAACCAUAAACCACCAUAGACCGCCAAAGCGAGAACUUUGGUCGAAGCGAGAGACUCUCGUUCGUACGUACCUACGUACGCGUGUAUGUACACACGUACGAUAUAUAUGUACACGCUGUCUAUUUUCCAAAACCACGAUUCAACCAGGUUCCUUCGGCUAUUCCUUAACUCGAAGGGAAUACGUAGUUUCUGAGUAAUAUAACGUUAUUUCCAGUUCCGCACUUACCGAUACCGAUGCCCUAAACUAACAUGACGUUUUCCAACUUUAUAUUCGAUCAAAUUCCUUAUAUUUCACGUUUCCGUUAUAUUCGUAAUUAUAAUUACAAUUUUACAUUCAAACGUAGCUAUUUUUCUUUUAUUCUCCAUUGGAUAUGUCGCUGAAACGAGGCUACGCAAGUUCAAACAACUCGAAUUAAAGCCACUAAACUAAUCUGGUUUCUCUCAAGAGCGAAAUCCUAUACGCAAAAUCCUUGUCCUGCACUUUUAUUCUAACAGAGGUAACAUAAAACUUGGUCGCAAGUUCGCCGCAACUCUAUUUCACGUUGUUAGCGAGUCUUAGCAAUGAACGAUAUAAGGAAACAUAUCGGGAAAUAUGUGUGAAUGAGCGUAAAAAAGAAAGUUAAAAUAAAUUGCGAAGAGAAACAUUUUCUUUGGCACGUUGAAACAAGAUUUACAUACGUAUCAUUUAGUUGUAACACGAUACAGGAUUGUUAUUUAAUAUAAAUAAAAGUAAGAUUCUAAAACUUUAGCACGUAGUUUUAUGAGCAUUGUCAAAGAUUAGCGUACUCGUACUUUCACGUAUAGGGUUAGACAAUAAGGACUUAAAAAUGUAUGUGACCCGUAUAAUAGAAUUAUACGAGACGUUUAUAUAUCAAAGAUACGAUUUUACAUACGCGACGAAUGUAGACUAAGAGCAAAGUUUUACUACGCUGUGUCGUUCUUAGGAACGUUCUUAGGAAGUAUAAUACAAAGAUGGAUAAUAUCGAGUCAAGCGUUAAUAUAACAUGUACUUACUUUGUAUUGAGAAAAAAUCAAAGUAUUGCAUUGGACGCGAUCCAAUGGACGAAAAUCCAAUCUAUGUGUAUAAAUGUAAAUGUCUGGAUAAACUAUAAGUUUAUCGCGAUAUGGACGUGAUGAAAAAUAACCUUUACGAAGAAUUCCUAUGCAUGUGAGAAAAAACUGAGGGAUACGGUGGCAGGAUGGGUAAGAGAAAAACAAAGGGAUAAAGAGGUCAUAUGCUCUGUGAGGUGUAGUUGGAAAGGCGACCAGCCGUGCAGAUUGAGCCACAGGAUGUGAAGCCCAUCAGGGUUUAUUGAGUGUAAAGAGUAGAGAGACAAAACAAAGAGGAAAAAGGGCACUGUGCGUUUCUAGGAAAAAUGAAAUUUUAUCAAAAAGCAACUUUAAAUAUAGAAUAUUGGAAUUGCGUUUAGUUAUUGGGUAUAACGAAUAAGGUGUAUACGUGUGCGUUGGUCGUCGUAUCGCGUAUCCAUUUGAGAGCAACUUCGAGAAUUUUUAUUCUCGGAUAGGCGAUAGAAAGCUUACCAAGCGCGUACUAUUCGAUCAGGGCUCUCAAAAUCAUGUAAGGUCGGAAUUCGUAUAAAUUUAACGGAUCCUAUCGAGUUUUCCAUUGCAGAAGCAAAUGGGUUUCCGUUUUAGACAGACCGAAUAAGCGGGAAAAAUCAAAGUAACAUAUACGCGUAGCCGUUAGCAAUGAUAUUUUAUUCUCAACAAAACCUUUCUUUACAGUUGAUGUCCGCUCCACAAAGAAUAGAUACGUACGACGAGAAAGGUUCGAUAAUCUUUCGUAUAAUCGUAUAAUCGAAACGUAUCUUUAUCCUUUCUUCUUUCCACGUAUAAAUACGAAAUAUACACGUUGAAAAUAUAUACGAAGCGUAUGUCGAGAGACAAGAAGCGGCCUUAUAUCGCGACACAAAAGGACCACACAAGUAAUCGCAAAUGUGACCAAACACAUUGCACGCGUGCUAAUUUGAAACGAAAUACGUAUUCAUCGAGGUAGACGUUUAAUAAGAUUUGUAAAACAGGCUAUGAUCCAAUGUUUGUUCGAACGGAAAUUGUUAACAGAUGCGCGUGUGAUUUCCGCAGGUACAUGUAUAUCGCGUUAAUUUGCUACUAUUUCAAAUUUACCGAGUGUCUAGAGAAUCGUCGAAUUUGUAAAAAUGUAGGUACAACGAUACGAUAUGGAAUCGAAAUACGACUAAAGAUUAUAAAAUCGGCAAACACCCAUCGUUAUCAUAGAAAUUUAUCAAUGGGUAAGGAAAGAAGAAUAUUUCAAAAGUAAGAAUAGCGUUCAUUUUUAUUCCCACAAUCAGGAACGUAUAAAAUACAAAUAUAAAUACGCAAUACAUACUCGGUAAUUGUAUCGAACAAAGAAACCUAUGACGAUCAAAUCAAGAGAACCGUCGAAAGCGUGCGGAUCCAAUAUUUUUAACAGGAAAAUUUUGAGAAACAACAGAAUGUUACGAACGUAAUGCUACAUCCAAUUACUUUUCUCAGUUUUACAUCGAUAACGGUCGAAGAAAUAUCGAAAUAAACGUUUACUUGGAAAAUAAUCAUAAGGGAAAAUUAACGAUUAAAUGGAACGAUCAACCUGUCUAACCGUGGCGAUUAUAAUCGCGUAGUACAUUAGUCGUGGCACGCUAAGUUUUGGUUUCCGAUAGGGCAAAAUGAGAAUACGUUUUUCAUAUACGUAGUACUGUUUGCAAUUUCCUAGAAAUUUCAAAUAUCAAUAUUACAUUAAACGUCGUUACGAUGUACCGUUAGAUUUCUUUACACGUAGCAUUUUAUUAUAAUCGUACAAGUUACUAUUUACAAAUUAUGACGCUAUCUAGUCUCACAAUGUGCGAUCACUUUGACAAUUAUCCUCUAUAAAUAGCGAAUUGUAACAUUAUCGUCGCAGAAUGAAGAUAUUUACACAGCAAUGCGUGAAAAUAAUAACCGAUAAAAUACGUCGAAAUUAUAACACACUGUCGUGUCGUACAGCGCGAACAUAGACCAGUAAGUUAAGAAUAGUCAAUUACGAUCGUCAAUUUACAGCGGUGCUGUCCACGAUGUUCUUCUUCGCUAUGCUAAUCUCGUAAUAUUUUUCUCUUCUACGUAUAUGAGGACUACAGGUUAAAAUACGACAAGUCGCAUUUCCCGCCUCUGAUAGAAGAGCAGUUUUAAAAUUCAAUACGUCGUCGAUCAAUUCCAUAACAAAAUUAUCUUUGCGUUUGAUUUUGGGAAUACGUAUUUACACACUCGUUUUCUCAUCGUCUCGACGUGUCAAAGAUAUCGAUGAACGUUAGUUACGUAAACUAGUGUCAAUUAAGUUAAAGUAACGCAACGACUAAACUAAUAUCGAUCGUUUCUUACCAAACAUCUUGGAUAUCUUCGAUACCCAUUUUCGAUAGGCUUAUAUUUUCGAAUCGAUCAGGUUAUUCCCUUUUUCGACCGUUUCGUAUCGAGACACUUCUUAAUCGUAAAGCCGCGUAAGAGUGUUUUUCGAUUAUAAUCAAACGUGAUCCAGCCCUUUAGAGGUUCUGUAAACAACCGAUUAUUCGAGAUAAAAAUUUCACGCGAUAAAAACGAUACGUGUUAUUCUGCGCUGCAUAAUUCGAUAAAUAAGACAAAGUAUCGGUACUACUCGUAAAACUCGGAUAGCACUGAUCUAUAACAUAAUACGCAUGUAUAUAAUAUUAAUACAAGUACGUAUUUCGAAUAUAACGAAACAACGAUUCACACUUGCUUUGUGAAAAACGAAAAGGUGCACCUGAUUCCGCUAUAGUUUUUCUCUUCGAUUUCCUAGAGCUUUGGUACGCUAGGAUACGCUAUUCUAAUUUUGUACGUCAACAAAUGGAAGAAAGAUUCGCUGGAAAGCAAAAGAAGAAAAUUUUACCUAUUCUAUUGCGUUUUAUGUAUCAUUUUCGGCCGCUAAUUCUUACACGCUAAAUCUCUAUAACGAAAAUAUGUGGUCUAAAUAUGGCGUACACCAGCACCGAUUAUUACAAACAGCACCAAUAAUCAAUAAGUAGUAAAGAAUCGAUAAAGCACAUAUCACGAUUUUCAAAGUACGCUUUGAAUUCCAUAGUUAUUAUUCAAAUUUCUACGAUUCUAUGGAUAUUGAUUAUUUCACGAAAUUUUCAUGUGCCGCGCUAACAAGUAUCAAAGCUUGAUAAUUUUAUCUAAACGGUCGCGUAUAACCAACCUAGCUGUUAAACUAACUGUUACAUCAGUAUAUUAUGUGUAGUUAAAUAAAGUUAAAAUAUCGAACGAACGUGUAACGUGAUAUAUUUAAAUAAUUGGCAAACAAACAACGAUAACUAACGUAAACGUCGACGAAGGAAUAAAUAACUUAAUUGGUUCUUGAUUCGACAUCGAUAUCUUUCUGAAUUUUUCACCGUAGAUAUUUGUAAAAUAUAUGUACAUAUAUAGGUACUUGUAUAGAAAAUAUCGUCAACGUCGAAGCGAAAUAAUCGUCUACGCGAGUGUACUCGUCGGUACUUCGUUACGCAUAAUAGAAUCAAAGCUUUUUAGAACAAUGGUACUACUCGCUUACGUUCGAGUUCGUAACGUACCUCUUAAUUCCAUAUAAUUUCCAAAUGAAUUCGCUAAUUGCUCGAAAAAAGAAAGUGAAAGUUCAAAUAAUAAAAUAUCUCUAACUCGUGUUCGCGCGCGGACACGUAUUCUCGAAACGAUCAGUCGCGUAAUCGGAGCCUUUCGUUCGAUUCUGCAGCCGAUCGUUCGAUCUCUGUCGGGUUCGAUCGAUAAGUCGUUGCUUAAUUAUACGAUUAUCUAGCUUGGUUGUGCGCACUCCGAAAGAUCGACGUUACGUAGGAACCGAUUAGAAGCUGUGGUAAAAUCCACCGUGAAGUAAUCCGCUUGUAGUACAGUUUUACGCGUGCAUUCCAUAUCGUAUUUGCGUUCGUGCGACAUUCCUACACUACAGAAACAACAUUGCCUCGUAUCGAUUUUCUUUUGAGCCAACAAGAACGCUUUGAACUAAAACAAUCGAACGUUUUGCAUUUUUGAGCUAUACGUUUUGAGCUGUGCUAAUCUUACGAGUAAGUUCUGUAUAUCCUCGCUAAUUCGUCCGCAUUUUGAACUUACAUUUACCCUUACUUUACAGUAGGUAUUUGGCAUUAGCGUCUACCGUACGAUCGAAACAAGUAACGAACAGGUAAAGGUUAAUAAACGGAUCUCGGCAAUGGAACGUCUUACAAUUAGUCGCGACAGGCUUUAUCUUUUCACUGUACUUUAACCGUAACUUUCUUCGCAAUCAUGCGUUCGAUGUACACGAAUACUUUUACAGUUUUAACGAUAUUUUAUCGCAUUUUUUGUUAUCGACGUGCUAAUCUCGACCAACUUUUGUCAACUUUUCUUUUACCGAACAUCGAGGACUACGUACACCCGAAAGUUAACUAUCGUUGAUAAAAAGCGCACGAUUCGUAGAGCAUGGAACUCUGCAACGCGCAUAAAAAUAGAAAUAAUUUAUCUAGGAUCAUUUGGUUUACAACCCCAUGCUAUCGAUACAAGUUUUAACGACGACAACGAGUGGGAAAUUAAUCACUCGAUCGAGAUAUCGCGAUCUCGACUCUGAACGAACGGUUAGAUAACGAGCAAAACGGAUAAACUGAACAACAUGACGAUUUGCGUUACUACCGUAUGCGAAUAUAUACCGGUGUAAGAUGGAAAUCUUUAGCCGAUACACCAUCGUUUCGAUAUUCGUGUAACUGUGUUUUGUGGAAGAAUGGAAGCGAAAAGUGACUUCCUCGCGCAAUAUGCGUACCUCUUCGUGCUCGUGCAACAACGAGAUUCGUUUCGAUAAUCGUACUUGUCGUUCGCGAAAUCUCACGUCACGUAAUAGCUGUUUAUAAUCUGUUUUCAACCGAUAGUUAACGUUUAAUUAUUAUUUAUCGAUCGAUCGAUAUGUGCUUGAUAGGAAAUUAAUCAUAUUUAAAGUGAAAUCGAAAUUACGAGCGAUCAAGUUGAUUCAAACGCGAUUCUUCUUCUGUUCAAAUAAAAUUUGUAGAAACGUAUCAAGAAACGUGUAAUAUCUUCUCCAAUUUUCUUCUGUCUUUCUCUUCUUGAUCUCUGAAACGAUAUCGCGUUUUACAAAUUAUCGUAGUUUACGAAAAUAUUCAAACGAUACUACGAAAAGUACAAUUUGAAAAAAGUUGCUCGACGUAAGCAAUAAAACGUAAAAUACCAGAAAUGAUCAAAGAGGAAGUCUGGUAUUCUAUAUAUGCAACGCACAAAAAUUGCUUUCGCGUAUGUACGCGCUUACGCAUCGGUAAACAACGAAACUGUUAAAACUUCUUGGCGAAUAAUUGCGUUAUCAAAAUAGUCUUUUGCAAAUUAACGAAUCUUGCAGAUAGUGAUGAUAAUACGCAGCACGCGGUACAUUCGAUAUUUGAAAUUGUUAUUCAGCACCGAUGAUAAUUAUAUCGAUAGCAAGUUUUAUUUGUCGCGAUAGUAAUUACUACGGAAAAAAACGUACGUUUUCGAAACGUACACGUUUGAACGAAGUAUAAUGUAAAAGAAUCGAACAAACUGGUACGUUCUUUACAGAAAGUCGAGCGUGUUUAAAGAAACGUCUAUAAGUUUGAAAUAAAUCGAUAUAAAUAUUCGUGCCUUUAAUCAUAAUUAUUAUCGUGCGACGAAUAAAGUUUGCUCGUGAAAUAGUCGUAAUCGUUGGAAAAUUACCAUGUACCUAUAAUUAACGGAUAGAGCACGCAACGAUUCGUUCGACGAACAACUAUUUAAACAGCUAUAUAAAUUAACUUAAUAUUACGUUAAUUAAAUUCAAAGUAAGUUAUACUAGGACUCGUUUGAACAGGUACACGUUGCGUACGUAGCGACGAGAAUGACUCGAAAAAGUUUCUCGAUAAGGUCACGUUUGACUAGAUCUCGCGAAAGUCUCGCGUACUUGAUGCGAUAUUUUACAAAUAACGACUGUACACGUAUAACGUAUCGAGUACCCAUCGACGUUGAACGUGAAUCGAAAAUGAUCGUUACCUAAUGACAGUAGUUUUGGUAACGUUGAACAACGAACGUUACCCGUUAUCGAUAUUUAGUAGGACUCGCGUACAGAACCCGAUUAACAGCGUACCUAUGUUACGGUAUACGAAUGUUGACGAAAAGAUCUUCUCAACGGCUAUUUCUUUUCCUCGCGCGACUCGCGCAAUGAUUCGACGAACAAGAGGUGGAAAUCUUUAGAAAAUACGACACAGCUGUAACGUGUUCAAUGAUCGAUUACGGUAGAUCGCAGUUGUCAAACAUCGAUUUGCCUAACACGAUACUUAUCCGUGUAGGUUCGAAUCUAAUAAAUUCCAUACUGCGAACUAAUGUAAAUAGUUGUAUACGUAUGAUACAAAGGGUAAACAAUGUUCAGCUAUGUGCAAACAUUUUCUUACAUUUACUACGCGUAUAUCAAUUCCGCUCGUAAACUUCAAUAAUCUCAGAACAUGCGAAACUAUUUUUUCACACGAUUAUGUUUAAAGUUUGAGAAUAUUCCAACAAAUUAUUAUCCUGGUCGUAGCACAUUGACUUUGAUAUUUAUCCCAACUACUUCUAUCUAUUAACAAGUACGAUCGUAAACAUCACACCUUGAAAGACUUAAUCUAGAGUUAAUUUACAGAUAAUUCGUUCCACGCUAUCUUUGUACGCGCUAUGUAGAUCAUAGAAAUGUACAUACACGAGAUACUACAGAGAAUGCGGCAAUGACACUAUCCAUUAAACGUACUUUGAACGACGCGAUGAUUCAUCUUUGUCGCCAUUUAUACGAUUUUAUAUUACACUCGUUAUACAAUUAUAAAUACAAUCGUAAAUCCCUAUAUUCGACUUUUCCGAUUCAACUUUAAAGUUAAAUUUUCAUACAGAGACAAUCGUUUUUCGUACAUACGCGAUAAGUCGAUAAACUAAUAAAGCAAAUUUCCUAAAACAAGGAGUCCUUAGGUUCGACAGAUUUAUACAUACACCUAUGAUAGAUACGCAACAACAUGUAUUUAUAAAAGGCAUCCGUAGGUAUCUAUCAGCGAUAAAAUGUGUGCGACGAAAAGAUUGUUAAAGCAACAGAUUUUCGUAGCUACCUUGUGGCGUAUAUAACGAACGUACAAUCCGCAUUCGAACCCACAUGAAUAUUUAUCCGAAUACCGGGAUAAAGAUAAAAUUGAUAUCGUGUCGUUACGAGGAACAUUUAAAAUUAUAUUAACCUGCGCGUUAUCGUCCAGCUUUGUAUCGUCGUACAGAUUUCGCAUUUUCCAUGUGUUAAGCGUAAUGAUAAUCCAACACGUCCGUUGAGCGUGAGCUGCGAAAAAGUAUUGCUCUCUUUCAUUUUCAAAAGAAUAAUUGCCAUCUUGUUACACUUUAUUUACAUAUAUAUAUAUAUAUAUAUAUAUAUAUAUAUAUAUAUAUAUAUAUAUAUGUAUAUUUAGAAGAAAUUAAUUUCAAAACCUACAGUUUUCCUCUUACUUCGAUUCUUGCAAACAAUUAUAAUUUACUUGCCAAUUCUUUCAUCGUUAUAUCGUUGAAAUUUCGAAGAUAAAAACAGCAAAUUGUUGAUAGUCUGUCUGUAUGUUAUAUGAAGAAUACAGUCAAAGUAAAGUUACUUUUGCGUUUUAACGAAAUACGCGUUCCGUGCUAUUAAAGGCGAGUUUAGACACGGAUUCAAUGAGACGUAUAGUCGACAACUAUACGAUUUGCGUGUAUAUAAUUUGCAUACGCUUUGCGAAUCGACAAACGCGUAUAUUUCUUGAAAUUUGAAUCAAGAACGUGUAGCGUGUAUAGUCAGCGUCUCUUCAAAUACGUUAUUAAUUUUCCACUAACUACGUCGAUAUUCGUAAUUUAUUAAUAAUCGUAUAAAACAUUGUCUCGUCAAAUUACCACGAUCGUGGUAAUACGCUUUACGAAAAUAACGUUUUACAAACGUCUAAUUUGAAUAUGAAAUUUUCAAAACAAUCCACAAAAGACUAGAACGAGAGUCUUACGUGUACCUAUACGAAUUUCGAAGGAACGUUCGAAAAAUUGUCAUUGUCGGUAAGCGAUAUGCCGAAGCAAUUUACUCUGUGCGUAACUAAUUUGAUAAUCGAUAUAGUCAAAGAAGUUCGAAGAUCGAUGGUGAUAAAUUUUGAAAGAAGAGAUUUGUUCCAAUAGAAAUUGCGAUAAAUAUUCAACGAAGUAAUCGACCAGAGUCAAGACUCGGAUCGUUACUGUCGCUAAAAAAAGAAAGAACACCGGCGUUUUAUAGUCACCGUAAAAACACGAGUAACCGUACCUCUAAAGUGGGGAAUCGGUUGUCGAUCGUUGCACGUAAAAGUCCGUGUUGCUCGUCGAAAAAUACAAAUUCGGUCUUUGCGUUUCAUCAAAUUCGUAGUCGGCAGUCUUUUUAUCGAUUAACGGACUAACCAGACGUCGGGUCGCGUCGGCGUCGUUUAACUUCGACUCGAACGUCUCGUUAACAUCGGAUUCC